rnacentral:lncRNA from 1 species
GUUUUGGAGUGCAGGCGUGAAUAGUCCUUUCUGUCCUGCUUUGAGUACUGCUGUUGGGUGCCUUGGGGGGACCUUAAGGGAGCUCGGAAGUUGAGACGUGGUGAGUGCGAGAUCACUGCCCACAAAGGGGAGGAGCAGGCGGAUGAACAGCCAGAGCUGCAAUGGUGGAUCCUCCUCCAGGGCUGCAUGGGACGACAGAUAGAUGAGGCUCUAGGACGGGCACAAAUGCUACCCGAAUGCAAACCACUCCGGAGAUCUGUAAAAGGACUGGCCCCGGACAGGAAGCACACUUUAAACUAGAGGCGGGGUAAGACUCGUGGGCCAAUCAAGGCUUCCGAACAGAACUGCCAUUCUGGCAAUGAGGCGGGGUCUUCCGGUUGCCUGCUGGAAGUUUGUUUUUGCUCUGCAGGAUUGAAGGGUUCUCCCUAUGCUGCUUUGAGCGCUGCUAUUGGGUGCCUUGAGGGGACCUCAAGUAAGCUCCAUUUUUGAAACAUGAUCUUCAUCCACAUCUUGAAGUUUGAAGUUUGGCCAAGAAUAUACAAAAUAGAUUCUCUUUCUCAGGAUGGCAAGUGUUCAUGACAUCAAUACUACCCAAGGCUUCAGAGUCAUUGGAUUGCAGGUGUCUCUAUGGUUUCAAUUCAGCACUAUUCCAUCCAUCUUUUGGCAGAGUCAGAGCCCCGGUGAAGAUUCUGUGAGAGUUCAUUGUAUUGAAUUUAUGAUGAUGAAGAUUGAGUUGCAUUUUGCGGAAAAGAGAUGUUGAGAUACCUAAGGCAUUGAGAAAUCUGUCAUGCAGACAUGCACACAGGGAGAGGGAGUACCCAAAAUGAUGAGAAGUUACAGGAAUUGGACCAUCUAAGCCCUUAGAAAGUGAAGUCCACUGUGUCUCAAACAAAGGAUGCAGUGACUUAUGAUGAUGUGAGUGUGAACUUCACUGAGGAAGAGUGGGAUUUGCUGGAUCCUUCCCAGAAAAGUCUCUAUGAAGAGGUGAUGCUGGAGACCUACCAGAACAUCACUGCUAUAGGUAAGUGAAUUUCCUCUUGCUUUUCUGAAUAAGGG